rnacentral:rRNA from 1 species
GAUGAACGCUAGCGGCAGGCCUAACACAUGCAAGUCGAGGGGCAUCAUGGCGUAGCAAUACGCUGAUGGCGACCGGCGCACGGGUGCGUAACGCGUAUGGAACCUACCCACCGCAGGGGGAUAACCCGCCGAAAGGCGGACUAAUACCCCAUGGUUCCCCGACCCUGCCUGGGGUUGGGGGUAAAGCCUACGGGCGGCGGUGGAUGGCCCUGCGUGCCAUUAGCUGGCUGGUGGGGUAACGGCCCACCAGGGCGACGAUGGCUAGGGGGUCUGAGAGGACGAUCCCCCACACUGGUACUGAGACACGGACCAGACUCCUACGGGAGGCAGCAGUGAGGAAUAUUGGUCAAUGGGCGGAAGCCUGAACCAGCCAUGCCGCGUGCAGGAUGACGGCCCUACGGGUUGUAAACUGCUUUUCCCGGGGCGAAUAACCCCUCGCGAGGGGAGUGCCGGUACCGGGGAAGUAAGGAUCGGCUAACUCCGUGCCAGCAGCCGCGGUAACUGUAGUCGU